rnacentral:misc_RNA from 1 species
UCUUUGUUUCCCUGCUUAUUGUAUUAAGAAAAUGAUCAUACUUGGCCAUCUUGUUGCCUCAAAUCAUCUUCUGCAUCUGCAUUGCAGUUGCCACAGAGACCUUCUAUAGCACCUCCAAAAAUAUGAGAAGGAACAGUCAAGCUAAAUGCAAAGUUCGGCUGGUAGCUGAUGAUCUCUAGUUGAAUAGAAGGAAUCAGUAACAACAGCUUCUCCGAAGGUGUUUGUUCUAGAGUCAACCAAGGUGUAUUGAAGGGGAAUCCGUACACUUUCGAACCAUUCAAUUCCACUUCGAAUUCCUGGCUUGUCGAAAGUGUUGAACGUUCUUCCUGUCACAUUGCAAACAGCUUCUAUUGGUGGUGGAGGCUUACAAGUAUAUUUAGGACACUUCUCAAGUUUAUACAUGCUCAUCUUUUCAUAAACAACUGUGUAACCUGGUGGACAAGACACCUUUGGACAGGUCUGAGAAUCGCACCAGAAAUGACUGGGAGCCCAUUAUGGGAUUUACAGAUACAGUCACUCUCGUCUACACAUGUCAAUGCAUCUCUCCAGAAUUCGUUUGAUGAACACUGUGGUUUAUCCAAUGGAUUUCUCCACAAAUUCAUUGCCAUUGAGUCCAGGGGUGCAUUGAUAAAAUAGAUGACAAUUCGUGGGAUGAGAUUCGUAUGGAUGUUCCAUAUUGCACUCUUU